rnacentral:rRNA from 1 species
GACGGGUGAGUAAUGCCUAGGAAAUUGCCCUGAUGUGGGGGAUAACCAUUGGAAACGAUGGCUAAUACCGCAUGAUGCCUACGGGCCAAAGAGGGGGACCUUCGGGCCUCUCGCGUCAGGAUAUGCCUAGGUGGGAUUAGCUAGUUGGUGAGGUAAGGGCUCACCAAGGCGACGAUCCCUAGCUGGUCUGAGAGGAUGAUCAGCCACACUGGAACUGAGACACGGUCCAGACUCCUACGGGAGGCAGCAGUGGGGAAUAUUGCACAAUGGGCGCAAGCCUGAUGCAGCCAUGCCGCGUGUGUGAAGAAGGCCUUCGGGUUGUAAAGCACUUUCAGUCGUGAGGAAGGUGGUGUAGUUAAUAGCUGCAUUAUUUGACGUUAGCGACAGAAGAAGCACCGGCUAACUCCGUGCCAGCAGCCGCGGUAAUACGGAGGGUGCGAGCGUUAAUCGGAAUUACUGGGCGUAAAGCGCAUGCAGGUGGUUUGUUAAGUCAGAUGUGAAAGCCCGGGGCUCAACCUCGGAAUUGCAUUUGAAACUGGCAGACUAGAGUACUGUAGAGGGGGGUAGAAUUUCAGGUGUAGCGGUGAAAUGCGUAGAGAUCUGAAGGAAUACCGGUGGCGAAGGCGGCCCCCUGGACAGAUACUG